GGCGGCCCUCUGCAGCGCUCCGUGCCGGUGUGCAUUGAUUCCGCCGCCCUCCGUCUCUCCCCCGCUGGCUCGGUCGGUCCCCCUGGCUCCGUCUGUUUCUCUCUGGCUCUCGGGCGUUCCCUUGGAAGGCCUCUCGGGCCCUCGGAUUGAGACCGCCAAACCAAAAGGAUCCUGAGUCUCAAUGGAAACCUGUUCCUUCAGUAUCGGUAAUUGGUGGGCAACCCCUUUGUGCCUAGCCCGGUGCGCCACGCGGAGCAGUGCAGACACAGGCCCUGCCGCCGGGAGUAACAAGUCUAGCCAGGCGUCGGCAAUUCCCGGGUCAUCGCAGAAUCGGUUUUUGCUGCCCCAGAACCCACCAUGUUCCUGACCCAGAGCUCAGAAUCCACAUGUACUCAGGCCCAGAAUCUACCUCUGCUACCAUGUCUUACAAUCCAUUUCCUCUCUGUCACCUCUCCCUUUUCUCAACUCCAAAGGAGGAAGACUUUUUUCUUUUAUUCUACUAAAAUAAACCAAAAUGCAUACAUUGUGAAACCAUAACAUGCACUGCCAGUCAUAGAGGGGUGUGAGCCCCAGCAGGGUGGAGAAGGUAGGAGGGCAUUUGCACCAUCUCACCUUCAGAAAGUUGUUCAAAUUUCAACUUGUCCAAAGGUACUCAGACAUCACACUGACAGCGCUGAAAAAGAAAAACAUCGUUCAUAUAGUUGUAGAUGUGUGUUCCAUUCCUGGACCACACCGUCUGUAGUACAUUAUGAAUGAAUACUUUCUUUACAUCCAGUGAUUAUCUUUGCCCAGUGCAUG